CAGUCUACGCUGAGUGAGAUCUGUAUACCACAAUGACAGGGGCUCACUGUGACAGUACAAUCUAUGAAGCUAUUUGUGCUACCAUUUUCAGUUUCACGUCGAAUUGAAUUUGGUAGCGGCGACGACUUAACUAGUAACGGGAGUUGCAAGAUAGAGUGGCAAAGGCGAAGGAUCGUAAUGAUGAGAUCAUUAAGAUUCGCAGGGAGAUAGUAGACUUCCAUGGGGAGAGUGUUUUGCUGAAAAAUUAUAGUGCCCUCAACUAUACAGAUAAUUUCGAGUUCUUUCUUUAAAUGUGAAAAUUAGUUUCACCUCAAAAUUUUAUGGGCGUCUCUGAGAAGUCUCUGUAAAUGCAGAAGACUUAACGUUUCAGGAUUUUGUUGUACAUUUGUAUCUACUGUGAUUGUCUGAUUAUUGUGCACCGAGAUGGUGACAUCAUAAGUCACUUUAUAAUCUCAUAGGUAGCGAUAAACAUUGGCGGAUGUAGCUCUUUGGCAAUGGGUUCAUCUCAAGUUCUUUCAA